AGUGAACGCUGGCGGUAGGCCUAACACAUGCAAGUCGAACGGCAGCACAGUAAGAGCUUGCUCUUACGGGUGGCGAGUGGCGGACGGGUGAGGAAUACAUCGGAAUCUACUUUUUCGUGGGGGAUAACGUAGGGAAACUUACGCUAAUACCGCAUACGACCUACGGGUGAAAGCAGGGGAUCCUCGGACCUUGCGCGAUUGAAUUAGCCGAUGUCGGAUUAGCUAGUUGGCGGGGUAAAGGCCCACCAAGGCGACGAUCCGUAGCUGGUCUGAGAGGAUGAUCAGCCACACUGGAACUGAGACACGGUCCAGACUCCUACGGGAGGCAGCAGUGGGGAAUAUUGGACAAUGGGCGCAAGCCUGAUCCAGCCAUACCGCGUGAGUGAAGAAGGCCUUCGGGUUGUAAAGCCCUUUUGUUGGGAAAGAAAAGCAGCAGGUUAAUACCCCGCUGUUCUGACGGUACCCAAAGAAUAAGCACCGGCUAACUUCGUG
rnacentral:rRNA from 1 species